rnacentral:rRNA from 1 species
UACGGGGGGAGCAAGCGUUGUUCGGAUUUACUGGGCGUAAAGGGCGCGUAGGCGGCUGCAACAAGUCACUUGUGAAAUCUCCGGGCUUAACCCGGAGCGGUCAAGUGAUACUGUCGUGCUAGAGUGCGGAAGGGGCUACUGGAAUUCUCGGUGUAGCGGUGAAAUGCGUAGAUAUCGAGAGGAACACCUGCGGCGAAGGCGGGGUAG